CUGAGACAUGAGCUACAUAUUCGGAAUCCAAAAGAACAUUCUUGCUUGAUAUAUCACGAUGAACAAUUCGAGGUGAGCAUUCAUGGUGCAUAUAGCACAAAGCAUUUGCUACAUCUUUAACAACAUUCACCCUCUUAUACCAAUCAAAUGCCAUUGCUUGCCCAUCAUCCUUCAGAGUCUUCUCAACACUGCCAUUCUCCAGGAAUUCACACACCAAAAAUGAGAAUUGUGAAUGUGAACAAAACCCAAAUAACUUUACAAUGUUACGAUGUCGAAUUUCUGUCAAAGCUUGGAUCUCACAUGUGAAAGCUUUCAGAUUGAGCAUCUCUCCAUUUGGAACAGAAUGGAGUUUCUUCACAGCAACAACUUGACCUGUAGGCAGCACUGCUUUGUAAACACAUCCUUGCCCUCCAACACCAAUGAGAUGUUUGUCGUCAAAAUUUUCUGUGGCUUCAAUAAUAUUCUGGAAUACCAUUUUGCCAUCAAAACUCCAUAUUGCAAAUAUGUUAGGAGUUUGUAUACUUGUAGCCUGGUCUUCUUUGUUCGUUGAGGUUUGGCAUAAAUGAUACGAGACUCCGAAAGCAAAUAAUGCCAGUAUUAGAAUGCCCAAAGUAAGGGGUAAAAUUACUAUCAUAUGAUUAUGAGAUUUCCCACUUGAUGUUGAGCAAGGCUCCAAGCCAGUGACAUUGCCACACAAGCCUUUAUUAUUUCUCAAUGCUUCAAUUUUAGCAUUGUGGAAGGCUAGAAUGUUUGGAAGUGGACCCUCAAACUGGUUGUAUGAUAUAUCAAUAGAUGUCAAGCUCGUCAUAUCAUCGAAGCUAGAGACAUCACCUGAAAGAUUAUUGUGAGAGAGAUUCAGUGUUUCUAAGUUUUUUAAUUCUCCAAACAUUGAAGGUAUUGUUCCUCUCAAAGAAUUUCCACCAAGAUCAAGACUUGUAAGAAAUUUCAGUUUGCCAAGCUCUGAAGGAAUAUUUCCCUGAAAAUUAUUUUGGCUCAGACUCAUGUUCAAUAAAUUGAGCAAAUUUCCUAGUUGUUUUGGGAUUAAGCCAGACAACUUAUUUGAUCCAAGCUUCAAAAUUUGAAGUUUUUGCAUUGAUGCUAUUUCUUUGGGAACAUUUCCUGUAAGAUUAUUGUUGUCGAGUGAGAGAUCAAACAAGGGCAAGUUACAUAAAUCAUGUGGAAUGUUUCCUGUAAGAUGGUUUGAGAACAGGUGAAGUCGUUGUAAUUUGGUUGCCCCAGCUAGUUCUGGUGGUAUCACACCUGAUAAAUUAUUGUUGGAGAUCAUGAGGCUUGUGAGGCUACGAAACUUUCCCCAGUUAGGUGAAAGUUGACCAUAAAAGUUAUUGUCACUCAAUUCGAUGUAGUCCAAAUUUGGAAGUACACCAAAAGCAUCUGUUAUAUCCCCAGUUAGCUGGUUUCGCUGAAGCCGGACUCUUAUAAGGCUGGAGCAAUUCUUGAAACUCACUGGAAUUGGGCCUGUGAAGUUGUUAUUUUCAGCAGAAAUUUUUUUCAACUUUCCACCAAUGCAAAUGUUUUGAGGUAAAUGGCCUAUAAAAUUAUUGUCAGCUAGCUGCAAACUAUUCAGAGCAGUAAGCAUGCUCAUUUCUAUUGGAAUCUUGCCACCAAGUUCAUUUCCAAUAAAUACUAAUUUCCUGACAUUUGAUAAAUUUCUAAUAGUUGAAGGAAUUGAUCCAGUGAGUUCAUUAAAGGAUAUAGAUAAUACAUUAAGCUUUGACAAAUUUCCAAUGAUGAAAGGAAUAGAUCCAGAGAGUUUAUUUUCAUCAAGGAACAAGGAGUCCAAAUGGACCAAGUUGCCUGUGGAAGCUGGGAUUGGUCCAGUGAGUUCAUUCAAGGAUACAGAUAAUACACUAAGCUUUGACAAAUUUCCAAUGGUGAAAGGAAUGGAUCCAGAGAGUUUAUUUUCAUGAAGGUCCAUGAAGUCCAAAUUGACCAAGUUGCCUAUGGAAGCUGGGAUUGGUCCAGUGAGUUCAUUCAAGAAUAUAUAUAAUUCACUAAGCUUUGACAAAUUUCCAAUGGUGAAAGGAAUGGACCCAGAGAGUUUAUUUUUAAAAAGGUGCAUGGAGUCCAAAUUGACCAAGUUGCCUAUGGAAGCUGGGAUUGGUCUAGUGAGUUCAUUCAAGGAUAUAUAUAAUCCACUAAGCUUUGACAAAUUUCCAAUGGUGAAAGGAAUGGACCCAGAGAGUUUAUUUUCUUCAAGGAACAAGGAGUCCAAAUGGACCAAGUUGCCUAUGGAAGCUGGGAUUGGUCCAAUGAGUUCAUUAAAGGAUAUAGAUAAUACACUAAGCUUUGAUAAAUUUCCAAUGGUGAAAGGAAUGGACCCAGAGAGUUUAUUUAGAUCAAGGAGCAUAAAGUCCAAAUUGACCAAGUUGCCUAUGGAAGCUGGGAUUGGUCCAGUGAGUUCAUUCAAGGAUAUAUAUAAUACACUAAGCUUUGAUAAAUUUCCAAUGGUGAAAGGUAUGGACCCAGAGAGUUUAUUUUCAUGAAGGUGCAUGGAGUCCAAAUUGACCAAGUUGCUUAUGGAAACUGGGAUUGGUCCAGUGAGUUCAUUAAAGGAUAUAGAUAAUACAUUAAGCUUUGACAAAUUUCCAAUGGUGAAAGGAAUGAUACCAGAGAGAUCAUUGUAAGAAAGAUUAAGAAACAAGAGUUUGGAGAGAUUACCAAUGGUAUUGGGAAUGCUACCAAAGAGAUUAUUAGUGGACAAGUCAAGAGUGUUGAGAUUGGAUAAGGAACCAAUUUGAGGAGGAAUAGUUCCAUUCAAGGAAUUGUGACUCAUAUUUAGAGUGAGAAUGUUUGGAAGUAAUGAGAAGUUGAGACUUUGAAGCGUACCUCUUAAUCCAACAUUUGUAAGAUUUAUGUUGGAAACAGAAUUGAACUCAUCACAUGCAAUUCCGAGCCAAAUGCAAGGAUUAUUGCCACUCCAUGAAGAGAGAGAAGCAUGACUUUGGUUGUCAAGGCUGGAUUUCCACUUCAACAAAGCAUUUGCUUCUGAAGCAAUCUCAGAAGAAGCAGCAAAUGCACAGAAGUACAUCACAAGAAGCAGCAAAAGUGGUUGGAGCUUCAUGGACAGAAGCGUUGGAAUUAUGAACACCAUGAGGAAAUUUUGAGGAAGGAUUCAAUCACAGAUUGUCUGAUACAAUCAAAUGCUGGAGAAGUACUUACAAGCAAUUCAUGCGAUAUGCACACUUAUAUGCAAAACAUCGUGAACCACGAACCAGAGUCAAGAGAUAUUAUAUAACUAAUUUAUGGGAUAUUAUCCUUGAGAAACUUUAAAUAAAAUAUUUAUAACUAAUUUUUAUUUCUAAUGAACAUAAUAGGACCUUUUUCAGGGCAACAUAAUAGAACUUUAAAUUAAAUAUAAUUAUUAUUUUCUGGCAUUGUGAUUAUGGGAUCUUAAUAAUAAGCUUUAUAUAUUAUAUGUCUUAAAAAAUAAUUGCUGCUAAAAAAAAUAUAUAAGUUUUAUAAAAAAAUUAAUGUAAUAAAGUUAUGUAUUAUUAAAUAUAUAAUUUAGAAAAAAAAUAUUAAUUUGUUGCAGUCCCUUAUACAUUUUAAUUAUAUUAAAUCAUUUAAAUGUUAUAAUAUUGAAAACUAAUUAGGAUGAAGACCGAAGAGAAGCGACAAAUUCAUAAUAUGGAAAUAAUUAAAGUGAGAAAGACAAUAUCAAACAAGACAGCCGAUCAGUGGGAUCAAUAUAAGUCUGUAUGGGUAAAUUUCAAUACUGUUUCUGUUGGCAAGCAGAAAUUUCCAUAGUGUUAUGCAUGGGUAAAUUUCAAACUUCCACAUAACCAUUUCUGUAACACUAUUUUUUUAACAACUGUUUUAAUUAGAAUAUAAAAGAAAUUUAAUUUAAUUUAUGCUAUAAAUCAUUGAAUUUUAAAAAUAUAAUAAGUUUAAUUAUGUGUUUUAGAUGAGCUUAGUUGUUUCUUUUCUAGAUGAGUAUAAUUAAGAGUUACACUUUUGAUACAAGGGGAGGGGAGUUACUAUAUAUUUCAUGUAAAUUGUUAUCGGUUCCAAGUUAUCAAGAGGUUGAGAGUUUUUUUAUUUAUUUUAGAAUUACUCUCGUUGAAUAAAAUAUACAUGAUGAUUGCAUUAUGCAUUGUUUUCACACCAUUUUAUUGCAACGGAUAUGUUGCACAAUAAUUUUUAUAUGCCUAUUAUGAUUAUGAAGUCCUUGGGAUCCAUCAUCUUUUUGAAUUUUACUAAUAAAAAAAAUACGACUUCACACUAUCAUUAUCUCAACACCAAUCAAGAAAUUCAUAAAAUAUUAUAAAAAUAUAAUAAUAAUAUUUAUUUAUAUUUGAUGAUAUUUUUUAAAUGUUACCAAAAAAAUUUAGUAAUAUUUUACUAAAUGUUAAAUAAAAAAUAUUACUAACUUUCACUGUGUAGUAGUGAAUUAUAUUUUAGAUUAUUAUAAUUAACGGUAUAACUUAUACAAUUAAUUAUUAUGAUUAUAAAUAAAUAUUAUAUGUUUAAAAUAUAUUUUAAUUAUUAUUUUAGCAAAUUAGUAUUCUAAAAGAAUAAUUACAAAUGAUAUACGUAUAUAUAAGUAAAAUCAAAUUAAAUACAAAUAUUAAGGUAGUAUUUAGUUAGUGUUAUUAAUCAUAAUUAUAUAAAUAUUUAAAUAAUCUAGUAUUUUUCUAAUAUUAUAUUUGUUAAAAAUCAUACAUGAUAAAUUUUAAUAACAUUAUUAAAUAUAAUAUGUUGAUUGAAUUUAAUAAAUGUAAUGCUAAUAUAUGGAUAUUAGACAUUCAAAUUUUUGAAUGAUUUUAUUUAUAUAAAAAUUAUUAUUAAAUAAAAUGAAAUCACUAAAAUAUACAUUUUAAAAUCUUAUAAAGAAUAUUUUUUUAGUAAGUUGCGUUAAUCCUAAACGUUUAUAUCUAGGAGAAUGAUUUAUUUAAUAGAAAAAUUCAUAUUUAAUUUGUUUCGUGUGUAAAUUUUUUUAUUUCAAUGACAAACACCAAUAAUAAAUAAAACUAGUCUCGGACAGAAUAGGUAGAGGAAAUCCGUGUUCUUUGAACGGAUAAAAAUAGUAUAUUAAAUUAUAUAUUUUAUCAUAAGGAAUGAGCAGCAAAAGUGCAAUACUUCCGAUCUAUUAAAAGAGAAAAGUAUAAUGGAUAUGUUGGGAUGCAGUUCAAAAAGAUGUUUUAUUAUUUUAUCGACUGGAAAAAUAUCUUUUUUAUUUUUUAAGAGUUUUUAGUUAUUAAUUUUUUUUUUAACUUUUAUAAAGUAAAAGUUGCCAACAGAUUUUUUUUUUUAAGUUUACAUUUUCAGCUUGUGAAAUUUUCUUUGGGAAUGUGUUCCUUAAAUAAUGAUUGGAUAAUUAUGUUCUCAAAAAAUUUUAAAAUAACAAAAAAUAUUUUUCUCAUUUUUUAAACCUUCAAAAUUUUUCUCUCUUAUUCCUCUGAACGUGCCGUGCCUUCCUCAAAAUUUCUGUGUAUAGUGUAAUAUUUACAUAAGAAGAAAGAAUGAAGUAUAAUACCUGCCUUUCUAAAGGGAAAGAUACAAAAAAAAAAAAAAAAAAAGACAACAAAGAAAGACUACGAACGCGGAUAUAAGAAAAGCCAAGCAUGUGCACUGCAUCCAGGACCAGCCCUAAUAAGUAAUAACCCUUAGGGAGGGUUACAUGAUCACAAUUUGAUUUGAUAUACUUCAAGAUUAACGACUCAAAUGAAAAUAUCGAAUUUCCUUCCUAUUUUUUAAAAUAUAUAUCAAUGUAUUUACUAUUCAAUAAAAGAAUUAAAAAUGCUAUUAAAACCCUAAAUUUUAUAGAAAUUAAUGUAAAACAGCAAACACGUUAGAGUAAAAUAUCCUUUUUUACUUCAUUAACCCUCUAUCAUCCCGUUUACUUAAAGUACUAAAAGGAAAGGGUUGAAAUUAAUUUAUUAAAAUGACUCAUACAAAUAAUUUUAAUGUUCUACCAUUGCAUUAGAUUUUACUAAAACCCAAUUUAGUCUUUUUAAUUUUUUGUUAUCAUUAUCAAUUAAGUAUUAAAAUAUUUAUUAAUAGCAAUAUUACUAGAAUAAAUUACACUUUCCUCUCUUAAAAAAUGCGAAUAUCACACUAUCAUCUCCUCUUAUAUUAAAAACUUUACUCUCUUUUCCUAACACAUUUUAAUACAUGACACUUUAUUUCUUUUUAAUUUUGCGUUAAAAUUCUGUUUGUUUCCAUUAAAAUAAACUACAUUACUAAAAUAUUCUUUACACUACCACCGCCUCUAAGGUGCAAAUAUUUCACUGCACUCCCUUCUUGUGUUAAAAUACAUACUUCAUCCCUUAGCUAAUGUGCGCAUAUAUAUAUAUAUAUAUAUAUAUAUAUAUAUAUAUAUAUAUAUAUAUAUAUAUAUAUAUAUAUAGAGGAUAUUUCGUUUUUAAAAUGUUUAAUUAAUUUUUUUUAAACAAUUAUAAAAUUUUAAUGUCUGAAUACACACACUUAGUAAAUCAACGCUCUAAAUUCAUAGAAGUGUAAAUAGAUGCGUAAAAGGUGUUUUUAGGUUAUGCUUUAUUUUUAUUUACGAACAGAAACAGUUUUUUGAGAAGUGAAUUACACAAACAAUUGGGUGGUCCGAAUCUGUUAGUAUUUUUAAUCUCUUUUAUUUUUAAUGCAAUAUUAUAUGUUGUUUAAUGAUUAUGUGAUCAUAAUUGGCCAAACUCCUUAGAACCGGAUUCUGAUGUGGUUAUACUCAUUUACUUUAAUUUCUCUUUUUAAUAAAAUUCUUCUAUUCAAUUAAUUGUAUCUUUUCAUUGCUUUCACUUCUAUAUUGAAAUCACUCUGAUUAUUAGUUCAUUAUGUGCUUAUGGUCAUCUUCUCAUAAUUAAUUGACCUAUAGAAUGAAAUGGUUCAUAAAACUUGUAUGAUCAAACUGGUGACAUGAAUUUCUUUUUUUUACAAACUUCUAUAUUAUUUAUCUUUAACCAUAAAUUAAAUUCAAAAUGACUAAUGCAUGAUUAAUUUUGGGGAGAGAGUAUUCUCAGACUUUAACUAUAGGUUGACAAUUAAAAUAAGAGAUAUUAGACUAUUAAUCAAUAACUUAGAGUUCUUAAUUAAAAUAGGAAUUAAGGAAAAACGGUACAUGUGAAAUCAUAAUAUGAGUCACUCUUUUUCAUACAUAUCUUUUCUUCAAAUUGUUGUUUGUUUUUAAUUUUAUUUUCUUGAAUGCAAUACAAAUCAUCCCCAACUUAAGAUAAAAACUUAAAAUUAUUUAUUUUAUCUGAUUUAGAUUAUUUGAAAAUACAACUACACUUUAGGAUAUGAAUUCCAAACUUUCAGUUUAUGGUACACUUAGCAUUAAUAAAUCCAUAUUUUACGCAUUAGUAAUUAAGUAUGUUUUCAUUAUUCCUUUUCAAUUUUAAUUAUUGUUAUUAAGAUCAGAAUGGACCAUUUGAAUCUAUUUUUCUAAGGGAACUACUAUUGGCCCUUACACAUUGCCUUUGGACCCUACUCCCCCCUUCAAAAUACUCAUAUGUCCAUAUUGGGCAUUAACUACUUUUUUUUAAUUAUUAUUCAAUUUGAUCAUCUGUUUUGUGAUAUUCAUUCAUUAUGAUCUUUUCGUUUGACAUCAUUUGUGUCAAUUUAGACAAAGGAGUAAUAUGAGCAUUUUUGUUUUAGAAAUCAAAUUCAACAUUUUAAAAAUAGAUACAUCAUUAUGAAUAAUAUAAAUAAAAAAGAUCAAAAAAAUAAUUUAAACUAAAAAUAAGGAUAAAAAGAAAAAAAAGAAUUGAAAUGAAUGAAAUGGAUCAUGCGUAAAAUUAAACAUGUGAAUAUUUACUUAAAUUACAUUAAUCAACAUUUAAAAUAUCAUAUAUGUUUCUCAUUUAAAAUAAAUUAUUUCUCUUAAAAUUUAUUUUAGAUCUCACAUGUUAUUGGACCGACUCAUAUCUCUAUAUUUUCUACCACGGCAAAGCUAGCUCCAGCCAUUGCCAAAUGAUUUGAAGUCUCACCUCUUAAAUGAAUAGAAACUUUUCGCCAGAAUUAAACUCCACAUACUUUCUGGAAGUCUUUUGUACAGAGUCAAUUUCCAAAAUGGUGAUGUCUAGUUAAAGGCUAAUAGUAGUAUUAUGUAUGCUGUGGAUCCUGUCAUGUAUGUCACAUUCAUUGACUUUGCAUAAAAAAGAGAGAGAGCAAGUUAAUUAACAUUAUUUUACUGUCUUUCAUUAUAUAUUACAUCUGGAGAAUUUGCUGGUGGAUGCUGAUGGAGAGCUUAAAGUAUCAGAUUCUGCAUUGAGUGUUCUGCCUCAACAAUAAUUUGGAUCUUUCAAAUUAUUCCCGCAAGAGGGCUGGACCUAUUUUUUUUAUGAUGUUUCGAUAAAAAAAGAUUAAUUCUCUUCAUAAAAAAGAGGAGGUAGAACCAAUAAAGAGUGAUUAUUCGAUUCAUCCCUUGAAUUGAAUAACUCAUUCAAGAAAUGUUUUUGACCCAAUCCGGAGGAAUCAAUAGAAAAAGUAAAUCCCUUAUGAUACACUAGAUCUGGCUGGGUUAUUGAUAGAGUGAAUAGAUCUGUCAUUUCUUGAUAGAGUGCAAGGACUGAUCUAUUCUAUGGUCUUGUAGUGUUUUUCUUUUUGUUCUAAUGGCUGGUUAUUUGCAUUUCAAUGACAAUAACAUAAAGAAGAGUGGGGUAUUUUAUGAGUAUUCUAGCUCUCUUAAUAUAUGGAGUGGUCUUUUUUCCUAGCAUGAUUGACUGGAUUGAUCUCACAUUAGUUGAUGCAUUCUUAGUCUUUUAUUAUAGACAGGAAAGUCAUGUGGUUGCUUAAGAGUAACACAAAUAUCAAAUUGAAAUAGAUAAAAUCAUAUGAACUUUAAACAGUAAGGAAUUAAUAAUAUAUGAGCAAAGGUCUAAAAUUCAGUUAUUUAAGACCAGAGCACUUUAGAAGAUAAGACCCCAACAUCGUAGUUCUAAAAAUGCAUUAUUAUGACGUCAUAUGUAAAGGUGAUUCUCACAAAAUGUUUCUCAUGGUAGUGUUGGUUGUAACAUCCUAUUUUUCAUAAACUAAUUUAAAAAGGAUUGUUAUUUGUAAAUAAAUAGAGUUUUAUAAAAAAUGAUAAGGUUUUCAUAAUUAAAUAAAUAAGGAGAAAUAACUUUAUUAAUUAAAAUAAUGGUUUAGAGAAAAUAAAAAGGAUAUUUUAUUUAUUCAUUUGAUAGUGAAUAAAAUAGAGUUUAUUUUUAUAAAAUAAUAUAAAUAAAUAAAUAAAUAAAGUAAAUAAUAGGUUGUGAGUACCCUAGUUAUAAAUAGAGAAAUGUUAGGUCAGUUUUCAGACUGACGAUAUCUUUUCAACUUCCUCUUUCUCUUAAUUUUCCCUUCUCUUUCUCACAAAAUUCUCUCUUUUCCCACAUACCACCAAACCUAUAUCAGAAAAACGACGAUUUCAGAUUUCAGACUCAUUCACUGUUUGAUCGUCGUGAAAUUUAAAAACCAGGUUUGCAACUCAAUUCUGAGCAUUCUCACCGUUGGGAAUUACGAAAACAUAUCGAAGCUGAGAGUAAUACCCUUCGCAUUGUAACUUUUCUUUUCCCGCAGAAACCCAGAGCUAUCUCGGUAAAACUAUGAUCCCGAACUUUUUAACCGUUGGGUUGUUGUCUUAUUUUUAUAUGUGGUUCGCGAUUCAUUUAUGCAUGUUUUCACCGUUGGGAUUUACAAAAUAAUAUCUGUUGAGGGAGAAAGAUGCAUCGCAUGUAGGACCAUAGAAUGGAGGCUUCAAUCCCUUUUCUUUCUCUCCAACAUUUGGGAACCCUAACAGAGAAACCGGAGGAGGAGCUCUAGAGAGCACCAGAAACGCCACAAUUGAUAACGAAGAACGCUUGAGCGACUACAUCGAAGUAAAGGAUGAGUUAUUCACAAAUGGGGAUUAGUGAGAACAUGUAUAGGGAUCCUUAGAGUACCAAUUAGAAUGGGUUUUGGGGUGUUUCUGCAAAUUUUAUUUUAUCCUUAUAGUUAUAACUGUGAAUUAUAUAUGUUUGAUGAACCAAUUGAUGUCCCAAUGAAAAACUAUUGUGAAAUUGAUGUAUUCUUGUGUUGAGUGUGAACCCUAUAAAUUGAACCUUUGUCUAAUUAGCGUGAAUUGAUAAAAUUAAGUAAGUAGAGGUUUAGCGUAAGAGGGAGUGAGAUAUUGAUUUUGUAUUUUCUCUUUUUCAUGCUUUUUAGCGUAAGAGGGAGUGAGAUAUUGAUUUUAUAUUCAUGACCCAAUAUGAUGUAUGUUGUUGGUUUUAUAUAUAUAAAUUUAGCUAUAUAUUUAUUUAUAUUAAUAUUUUAUGUAAAUAAUAUUGUAGUGUUGUUAUAGUGUGAUUCCAAAAAUUAUUCAAGUGUUGGAGUUUGAGAAUAUUAUGGUCAGAUUUGAGGUACAUGUGUAUUGAGAUGUGUGUAUUGAGUUGUGAGUUGUGAAUUAUACAAUAGCCCAACCAGUGUUGAUAUUGAGAAAAGUGUUGAUGCGCAGUGUUAAAGAGAAAGUGUAGGUUUCCUAUUUAGGAAUCAGUGUUGAAUUGUAGCACAAUGUGUUAAACGUGUUUGAAACACGAGUGUGAGGUCGUGGAUAUUGUAUAAUUCAUGAGCAAUGUUUAUAAAUGAAAUAUGUGAUGUAUUGUUGAAUAACAUGUUGCUUUGAGAUUAUAAUAUUGUUACUGAGAUUGAGUAUAAGUACAAAGUUGAACAUGUGUUAAUUUGUGAGAUACGUGUAAACAUGUGAUGGUGGAUUGUGACACUAUGAUCUGUGAAAUUGUGAAUGAGUUUUGGCUGUGAAUAAGUGUGUGGUUAACACUUAAUGUGACAUUACUUGUGUUGUAAGUUGUGAAUUGUACAAUAAUCCGACUAGUGUUAUCUUGAGAAAAGUGUUGAUGCACAGUGUUAAAGAGAAAGUGUAAGUUUCUUAUUUAGGAACUAGUGUUAAAGAGAAAGUGUAGGUUUUCUAUUUAGGAACCAGUGUUAAAUUGUAGAGCAAUUGUGUUAAACGUGUUUAAAACAUGAAGGUGAGGUCGUGGGUAUUGUAUAAUUCAUGAGCAGUGUCUGCAUGCAAAAAAUUAUUUUAGGGGUUAGACCUGAAUCGGGAGAGAGAGGCCCUGACGGACUCUUCGGAGUGUAGACCUUGGGAGUCACCCAGUUUGAGUGCUCCUUUAAGCCUGUGCCGAUUCCGCAUGGUUGGAGCAUUUUCGUAAAACAGCGUGACCCUGACUGGUCUCCCUAUGAUUUUACUUAGUGAGAGUGACCUGACAUACCCAUUGUGUGGUGUGUCUUGGUAUGUACUCCUAAGCGCCCUAGGGUGGUUUUUCACUGAUAUGGUAUCAGAUUGCAUAUAGGCUUGAGUCUUAGCAUAACUAUUGCAUACGCUUGCUAAUUAUUUAUUAUGAAAUUGAUGUGUUAUUAUGUCUUGAUCGGAGUGUGUGAUUCUUGUGUAAUGUGAUUGAUGAUUGAAAAGUGUAAUUGAUGAUUGAAAAGUGAAUUUUGAAUGACAAAGUGAUUGAAUUACAUGAGUUAUGUUUAAGUAAGUUUUAUUUUAUUUAUAUGAUAUGUAUAUCUAGUUAUCUUGCUUCUCUAUUAGUUAGGAAUGUGAUAACUCACUCUCCUUGUGUUGUUUGUGUUUGGAUCCUGUGAUGAUCUUGAACUUUGUAUUCGAGGGAACAGAUGACUAGAUGAAUUGCUUUAAGGAACCUUGUACUGAAGGACGUCAGGACACAAUGCUUUGAUAGGAUGUGACAUUGGAGCAUAAUAGUCUAUUUUAUUUUACCUCACUGAUUUAACAAAAUAUUUUUUUAUAAAUUUUGACGGCCUUGUUUUGAGUUGAAUAUAUUUUUAAUAAGUUUUAUUUGGUAAUAGUGAAGUAAAUGUGAACCUUUUACCCAUGUGAAUUUGUUUACCAAUAUUUUAUAUGUUUUAUUUAUUUAUAUAAAUGUCGGGGUAGAGGGUGUCACAUUGGUCAGCAUAACACAUUUUUCUUCUAGAACACAUGAUAUCUACGCAAUUCUAAAAGUAUGAAACAAUUUUAAAUAGACUUUUGAAGAACCUUAUUGUAGAUGUAAUUGCCUUUGAUGUUUUGAUGAUGAUCAUGAUGAUGUGUUGCAAUUGAUGCAAAUGGGCUUUUCAAGAUUAAAUUCAAGACAAUACUUCAAGAUUACAAGUCACAACAUCAACAUGAUCACUAGAAUAUUAGGAAGGGAAUUCCUAAUUGAAUUAGCAAAGGUUUGGCCAAGUGAUUUAAAUUAAAAAAGUGUUUCUCAAAGGUUUUACUCUCUGGUAAUCGAUUACCAGAGGAUGUAAUCGAUUACCAGUGGCCAAAUACGUUUUAUAACAGCUACAAAAAUUUGAAUUCGAAAUUUUAGACUGUGUAAUCGAUUACACAAUUUUGGUAAUCGAUUACCAGCAGUUAGUAAACGUUUUAAUUCAAAUUUUAAAAGCUGUAAUCGAUUACACAAUCACUGUAAUCGAUUACCAGACAGGAUUUUCAGAAAAAUAAUUUCAAGAGUCACAACUUUUCAAAGGCUUUAUUCAUGACCACCAAUGGUCUAUAUAUAUGUGACUUAAACACGAAAUUGCUCAGAGAUUUUCAUAACAACAAGUGUUUAUCCUCUCAAAGAGAAAAUUCAUUUUAUCCUCUUAAGAAUUCCUUGGCCAAUUCAAUUGCAAUUCAUUAAGGAAUUAUUUGAGUGCUCAAUCUGUAAAAUCCAUCUCUUUCUAGAGAGAUUUGUUCUUCUUCUUCUUCUCAUUCUCUAAGGGAUUAAGAGACUGUGAGUCUCUUGUUGUAAAGGAAUUCUAAACACAAAGGAAGGAUUGUCCUUGUGUGUUUAGAACUUGUAAAAGGAAUUUACAAGAUAGUGGAACUCUCAAGCGGGUUGCUUGGGGACUGGACGUAGGCACAAGGGUGUGGCCGAACCAAUAUAAAACUGAGUUUGCAUUUUCUCUUCCCUUAAUCUCCUUUAUUUAUUAUUGCUUUAUAUUCAUAUUCAAAUUGUUUCAUUUGAAUUAAUAUUUAAGAAGAUUGUCAUUAAGGGAAUUCAUAACUUGAGUAAAAAGUGAAAUAGAUUUUUAAUUAGGGGAAAUAGUUUGGAAUAUCUUAAUUCAACCCCCCCUUCUUAAGAUAUCUGAGGCCACUUGUCUAACACUUAUAGUUAAAUACACUUUAACCAAUUUUAAAGAAUAAAAGUAUGAAACAAUAUAUAAACUCAAGAAUGUCAUUCUGUUAGCCUAUUUUAAUUCCAAAUUAUAAUAUUAAUUCCAAACUAUAUAUAAAAAACCCUAAAAAGCAAGAAAAGGGAAAAAAAUACAAAAUCAGAAUUUCAGUCCCUCUUACAGUAAAUAUUUCCUUAUUUAAUUUCAUUAAUUCACACUAAUUAGAAAAAUACUCAGUUUCUAGUAGGGGUGGGAAUAGGCCAGGUCUGAGCCUAGCCUACGAUUAAUUUUUGAGGCCUGAGCCUGGUCUAUAGCCUAUCAAAAGCUUUUAUUUUAGCUCGGUCUGACCUUUUUAAAAGCCUAGCCUGGCCUGGUAGCCUAUUUAAAAGCUUAUUUAAAAAUCUUCUUCACAUUAAAUCUUUAAUAUUUCUAGUUGUUUUUACCAAAAAAAAUAAAUAACACACCUUCUAUAAUAGGCUAAACAAGGCCUUAAUAUAUAAUUUGCCUUAAUUUUUAAUCUAACGUUAAUUUAGUUGGUAGUCCUAAAAAUAUAUUAAUAAUAUAAACAAAAAUCACCAAAUGAUAUAAAUAAUCUAAAACAAAAGAAAACCUCAUACUUAGGUAGUAUCAUCCAAGUCUAUCAAACCAACAUAUUAAUUAUUACAACCAAAAAAUAAAGCCUACAUCUCCAUUCUAUUUGAACAGAACCGGUGCAUAAAAUAUCUACCAAUAAAAUUAAUAGUAACGUCAUUUCAUCAUUAGCUCCUCCAUAUUCACCAUAAGAUAGGAUAUGAUUUUUGUAUAGGAACGUAAUAGGAUAUGAUAGGAUAUGAUUUUUGUAUAGGAACGUAGGAUAUGAUAGGAUAUGAUUUUUAUUUGCUCUAGAAUACAGUAACGUAAUAAAAGAAGAAGGAAAUCUAAUAGGAAUACAAAAAGGAAUUGUUAACAGAAAUAGGAAAACUAAUAAAAAUAAUGAGAAAUAUAAAGAAACUUACACCUUGUAAUUAAAAUUUUACUUAAUUAUAGGAAUGGAAUCUGCUAGUUUUUUUAAAAAAAUAAUAUUAAUUGUACCCAAAAAAUAAUAUAUAUAUAUAUAUAUAUAUAUAUAUAUAUAUAUAUAUAUAUAUAUAUAUAUAGGCCGGCCUAUCAGGCUUAUAAGGCUUUUUAAUAAGUCUAAGUCUGGCCUAUUUAAUUUAAUAGGCUUUUAAAAAAGCCUGAGCCUAGCUUUUUAAUUAAAUAGGCCAGGUCAGGUCAGGCUUUAUGUAGGCCAGGUCGUAGGCUCCUGUAGGCCGGCCUAGCCUAUUCUCACCCCUAGUUUCUAGGAUUCAAACUCAACACAAGAACACAUCAAUUUCAUAGCAAUUUCACAUCGGAACACCAAUUAGUCUGUCAAACAUAUAUAAUUCACAGUUAUAGUUGUAAACAUAGAAUCAAAAUUUCAUAAAAACCCCAAAAUUCAUCUCAAUUGAUCUUCUAAGGAUACUUAUACAUGUUCUCACUACUCCCAAUGGUUAACAAGUCACGGAUGAUAGUUUUACUAGAAAAGGGAAUGAUCUAGAAGGAAGAGAAAGUGUAGAAAUAUCUUAAUAUAAGUACUGACCUAAUAUGUUUCUAUUUAUAACUAAGAUGUUCUGAUUAUAUUAUUUACUCUAUUUUUCUUUAUUUUAUUGUUUUAUAAAAAUGAACUAUAUUUUCUUAUUAUGAAAUGAAUAAAUAUAAUAUUCUUUUUAUUUUCUAAAAACACAUUUAUUUUAUUUACCUUCAAAUCAUUAUUUUAAUUAAUAAAAAUAUUUCUCUUUAUUUAUUAAAUUAAAAAUUUCAAUAUUUUUCUAAAAAUUUAUUUAUUUUUAAAUAAAAUACUUUUUAAUUUAUUUAAAAAAAUGGAAUGUUAAUGUGACUUUUGAGUAGUUAGUACAAGGCUCUACCCAACUAAGCUAAUAGACCAAUUAUGUUAUAAAAUAAUUAAUAUCGUUAUAUAUAACACUAAAAUUUCUAAUGUAUAUUAAAUGCACAUAUAAAUUUAAAUAAUAAAUUUAGUGACAAUUAAUUUUGAUCUAAUAAUUAAUUUUUUUACAUAUAUGAAUUGUAAAUGAAACCUAUAUUUUUAUUUAAAAUUUAUAUAUAUAUACACUAUUAGAUCAAAAUACAUUAGUAGAUUUAUGUUAAUAAUGUAUUUUUUACAUAUAUAAUUUUUUUUAUUAAACCUACGAUUUUUAUUUACAAUUUAUAUAUGUAAACAAAUUAAUUAUUAGAUCAAAAUUAAUUGUCAAAAAUUUCUUAUGUAAAUUUAUAUAUGCAUUAAAUAUACAUGAAAAUUUUUAGUGUUAUCUAUAGCGAAAAUAAUUAUUUUAACAUAAUUGAUUUAUUAGUUCAAUUGGUUAGAGUGUCGUACUAACAAUAUCCGUAAACCAAUUACGGAAAAGCAAUAUGGGAAUUACAAUGUUGUGUUGGAUAUACUAGAAAAACAAAUGGUGCACGUAGCAAUUCCCAAACCAAUAAUGUUUUGUGUUGGACUUUUAUGGACUUUCGUAUAUUUUGGGUUUUUUAAUUGUAAUCCAUAACCCAAAUAUAUCAACACACUUUCGUAGGAACUAGGGUUAUCAGAAAUUAAAUGUAGAAGCGGUUUUCUUUAAGCUUUCCUUUAUCGUCCCCUUGCAAUUUAUCUUUCUUAGUCUAGUUAGCAGCAGAGUCUAUCAAUCUAAAUGUGGAAUGCUAUUCAGUUAUCUAAGACUAGACCACUCUAGAGGAUAAGACCCCAACAUCGUAGUUCUAAAAAUACAUUAUUAUGGGUCAUAUGUAAAGGUGAUUCUCACAAAAUGUUUCUCAUGCUGGUGUUGGGAGCAUAACACAUUUUUCUUCUAGAACACAUGAUAUCUAGGCAAUUCUAUCAUGAGCAUAAUGCUUUACGUAAAACAUCCAAUCAAAAACUCAAGAUAAAAUUUAAAUAAUUUCAGUUCAAGCUUCCUUAUAAGUAGUUCAUGCAUUUUCCUUUACUUUGCUGACUUGUCGUUAAUUUUAAAUUAAUUGAAGGAAAGGGAACAAUUGAUUUGAAUUAUUAUAUUUUCUGAAGUAAAAAAUAACACUAUAUUUGUUUCCUUUAUUUUAAUAGGAAAAAAAUAAAGCUUACAAAUGUUAUCAUUGAUUUGGUUAAGGUAUCUAAAGUUCAGAAACCAAAAAACUAAAAUAAAAUGAUCUACAAUAUAAAAAAAAAAGAUACAAUACAAAAAUAGAAAAGAACAAUUAAAACUCAAGCAUGUUUAUUAAGUUCAAUCUUUCAGCUAUAUAUAAGUGACAAUGUAGAGCUAAUCCAUUGAAGAUGAGCUUGACAUUACCAGCUCAUUGGCAACCUGCUCCAUGGUAGGGCGAGAUCGUGGACUUUCAGUCAAGCAGGCCAUUGCUAUCUUUGCAAUUGAUGCCACUUCCUUACCAAUUGGCUUUGUUGGAUGAGGGAGACGUUGGUCCAACUUAUCCAUCAAUGCCAUGAGAUCGAGUGUUGAGGCCACAAGAGUAGAUGGAGAUGAUCCCAAUAAAGAAGAUAUAACAUCACCAGGGUGCUUCCCAAUAAGUAUUUCCCAUGCUAGGACCCCAAAACUAUACACGUCACAUUUCUCAUUCACCUCCAUUGUGUAUGCAAGUUCUGUAACAAAAUAAAAGUGCUAUCAUACGCAAAAUAGGAUUCUAGUGACAAAGGCAAAAUGUGGACAAUUGUGACUAAGAAAGGCAAACUAAAAAAUAUGAUAUCCUCAAUUUAGUAUAAAGAAAGGUAAUUAACCUGGAGCAGCAUAUCCAAAGGUUCCUACGAAUGAGGUCCAAUUGGAUGAAUCUGGAUUAAGAAACUUGGCUGUUCCAAAAUCUGAGACAUGAGCUACAUAUUCGGAAUCCAAAAGAACAUUCUUGCUUGAUAUAUCACGAUGAACAAUUCGAGGUGAGCAUUCAUGGUGCAUAUAGCACAGAGCAUGUGCUACAUGCUUUAACUACAUUAACCCUCUUAUACCAAUCAAAUGCCAUUGCUUGUCCAUCAUCCUUCAGGGUCUUCCCAACACUGCCAUUCUCCAGGAAUUCACACACCAAAAAUGAGAAUUGUGAAUGUGAACAAAACCCAUAUAACUUUACAAUGUUACGAUGUCG
rnacentral:lncRNA from 1 species